GGCUGGUCCGAAGGUAGUGAGUUAUCUCAACUGAUUGUUCAGUCAGUUGCAGAUCAAACUCCUUGUUCUACUAUUUCCCCGCUUCUCACUACUGCACUUGCCUAGUCUUAA
ensembl:Y_RNA Y_RNA Y RNA